rnacentral:rRNA from 1 species
ACAACGUACAACUCUUAUCGAUAAGCCAUUGGAGGGCAAGUCUGGUGCCAGCAGCCGCGGUAAUUCCAGCUCCAAUAGCGUAUAUUAACGUUGUUGCAGUUAAAAAGCUCGUAGUUGAAGUGAGGGAGUGUGUGGGUAUGAGAGCUAGUCUCAAGUACUUACAACCUCCCCCCUCCAAUCGGUGUAGUGGGGUAUUCAGUUAUUCUACUACUCCUUUGGUCGUUUACUGUGAGAAAAUUAGAGUGUUCAAAGCGGGCGUUUGUUUGAAUAGAUUAGCAUGGAAUAAUGAUUGAAGGCUUUCGUGUUCGAUUUGAUUGGUUUGUUCAUGGAAGCAAGGUUAAAAGGAACAGUUGGGGGUAUUCAUAUUCACUAGUUAGAGGUGAAAUUCUCGGAUUUAUGGAAGAUGAAC